rnacentral:lncRNA from 1 species
UCUAAAAUUUUUUAUCAUUUUCGUCACGCUUUUGUUUUUCAUUCACGAUUUUCUGUUCGUCAUUCCUAACACCAGCCACUUUUUCUUUCCCCCGUGCACCUUCAUUCCCAACACAAGCACUUUCGACUUGAACCAAAAUUACGACUCCUUGCAACCAACUAUAAGAAAAUUUUAUAGGCUUCCAGAACUUCUUGUUCCACUCCAGCGCGUCCUUCACAAUUGCGGAGUAGGUGCGAA